rnacentral:rRNA from 1 species
CUUGCUACUUGACCUAGCGGCGGACGGGUGAGUAAUGCUUAGGAAUCUGCCUAUUAGUGGGGGACAACAUCUCGAAAGGGAUGCUAAUACCGCAUACGUCCUACGGGAGAAAGCAGGGGACCUUCGGGCCUUGCGCUAAUAGAUGAGCCUAAGUCGGAUUAGCUAGUUGGUGGGGUAAAGGCCUACCAAGGCGACGAUCUGUAGCGGGUCUGAGAGGAUGAUCCGCCACACUGGGACUGAGACACGGCCCAGACUCCUACGGGAGGCAGCAGUGGGGAAUAUUGGACAAUGGGGGGAACCCUGAUCCAGCCAUGCCGCGUGUGUGAAGAAGGCCUUUUGGUUGUAAAGCACUUUAAGCGAGGAGGAGGCUACCGAGAUUAAUACUCUUGGAUAGUGGACGUUACUCGCAGAAUAAGCACCGGCUAACUCUGUGCCAGCAGCCGCGGUAAUACAGAGGGUGCAAGCGUUAAUCGGAUUUACUGGGCGUAAAGCGCGCGUAGGUGGCCAAUUAAGUCAAAUGUGAAAUCCCCGAGCUUAACUUGGGAAUUGCAUUCGAUACUGGUUGGCUAGAGUAUGGGAGAGGAUGGUAGAAUUCCAGGUGUAGCGGUGAAAUGCGUAGAGAUCUGGAGGAAUACCGAUGGCGAAGGCAGCCAUCUGGCCUAAUACUGACACUGAGGUGCGAAAGCAUGGGGAGCAAACAGGAUUAGAUACCCUGGUAGUCCAUGCCGUAAACGAUGUCUACUAGCCGUUGGGGCCUUUGAGACUUUAGUGGCGCAGCUAACGCGAU